GACGAACGCUGGCGGCGUGCUUAACACAUGCAAGUCGAACGGUGACCCAGGGCUUGCCCUGGUGAUCAGUGGCGAACGGUGAGUAACACGUGGGCAACCUGCCCCUGACUUCGGGAUAACUCCUCGAAAGAGGAGCUAAUACCGGAUACGACCACUUCGGACAUCCGAUGGUGGUGGAAAGUUUUUCGGUCAGGGAUGGGCCCGCGGCCUAUCAGCUAGUUGGUGGGGUAAUGGCCUACCAAGGCGACGACGGGUAGCCGGCCUGAGAGGGCGACCGGCCACACUGGGACUGAGACACGGCCCAGACUCCUACGGGAGGCAGCAGUGGGGAAUAUUGCGCAAUGGGCGAAAGCCUGACGCAGCGACGCCGCGUGAGGGAUGAAGGCCUCGGGUUGUAAACCUCUUUCAGCAGGGACGAAGCGAAAGUGACGGUACCUGCAGAAGAAGCACCGGCUAACUACGUGCCCAGCAGCCGCGGUAAU
rnacentral:rRNA from 1 species